UACAGAGGUCUCAAGCGUUGUUCGGAUUCAUUGGGCGUAAAGGGUGCGUAGGCGGCUCGGUAAGUCGGGUGUGAAAUCUCGGAGCUUAACUCCGAAACUGCAUUCGAUACUGCCGUGCUUGAGGACUGGAGAGGAGACUGGAAUUUACGGUGUAGCGGUGAAAUGCGUAGAUAUCGUAAGGAAGACCAGUGGCGAAGGCGGGUCUCUGGACAGUACCUGACACUGAGGCACGAAGGCCAGGGGAGCAAACGGG
rnacentral:rRNA from 1 species